CCUUUCCAACCCCUCCAGGUAUCCUUGGUGCUCUCACCGCUGAGUGCAUUGUCUAAUGAUCUAAAGCUUUUAGUUUACUAUCCACUGUUAAGGAUCUUCCAAACACUUUUUAUAAAUGACUUUGUCUAACUUCAGUUGAUGUUAGAUUAACUUAUUUUAAGCUAAAAGGCCAAUAAACUUUUAUAUAUUUAAUUAUUUACUUAUUUUAUUAUUUACUACUCUGCCAUUCAAUUUUGUCAUCAUGUAUUUAAAUGGUUCAGACAGAUAAUAAAUUGUUCACAGCAUAUCAACAAUUCUAUGACUGUGGGAGAGUGUUACAGACUUCUGAACCCAGCUGUGGGUACAGAGAGGUGCCCAAAUGAUACAACAGAAAUUCCUCAAGACAGGAUGGGACCAUCAGAUGUGGGACGAAUGCAAAGUGCACCAUUAUGGUGGAGAACCUGGGAUUGCCAACUGAGACUUCAUAUGCACGUAGCAAUUGAACUUCUCGAAAUUUAUUCUCAAGCUCUGCCUUGAGCAAAAUAAAAUACAGGAAAUGAA